rnacentral:rRNA from 1 species
UGAGGGAAAGCUGCAAAGUACUCUGAAGAGAGAGUUCAAAAGGACGUGAAGCCGUCUGCAGGGAAACGGGUGAGACCGCACGGUAGACCCGCNNCGGAUUCAGCUCGCAGGGUCGGGUGCGUCCGGGGUUCUGGNGCCUGACUUGUCAGGUCCCUGGCCUCGGUCUCGCGCCUGCCUUCCGGNUGCACUUCCGCNCCACGGUCGCGCAGGNCCCGACUCUGUGGCCGUCUGAAGCCCGGCGAGGAGGUGACGGGGCCUUCGGGCUUCCGAGUUUAACUCGUCGGUGCGGAGACCGGCUGCGGGGUCGAGGAACGUCUGUCCGUCUCUGACGCGUGGGGCCGGGUCGGCUCGUCGGUUCGACUGGGUUGGAGCCAUGAAAUUCGUGGCUGCUCCCGACCGCCGGUGGGUUCCUCCUUGUCCUUUCGCCGGACGACCGGGACGCCUGUGCUCAGGUCGGCACCUCACCCGACCC